CCCGACCCCAGGUCAGGUGGGGUUACACAUUGAAUUUAA
rnacentral:rRNA from 1 species